UGCGUAGGCGGUUUGUUAAGUCAACUGUUAAAUUUCUCAGCUUAACUGGGAGUAUGCGGUAGAAACUGGCAAACUAGAGGAUGGAAGAGAGAAGUAGAAUUCUCGGAGUAGCGGUAAAAUGCGUAGAUCUCGAGAGGAACACCGAUGGCGAAGGCAGCUUCUUGGUCCAUUUCUGACGCUGAGGCACGAAAGCGUGGGGAGCAAACA
rnacentral:rRNA from 1 species